GUAGGUGGCAAGCGUUGUCCGGAAUUAUUGGGCGUAAAGCGCGCGCAGGCGGUCCUUUAAGUCUGAUGUGAAAGCCCACGGCUCAACCGUGGAGGGUCAUUGGAAACUGGGGGGACUUGAGUACAGAAGAGGAAAGCGGAAUUCCAAGUGUAGCGGUGAAAUGCGUAGAGAUUUGGAGGAACACCAGUGGCGAAGGCGGCUUUCUGGUCUGUAACUGACGCUGAGGCGCGAAAGCGUGGGGGGUCAAACAGGAUUAGAUACCCUGGUAGUCCACGCCGUAAACGAUGAGUGCUAAGUGUUAGGGGGUUUCCCGCCCCCCUUAGUGCUGCAGCUAACGCAUUAAGCACUCCGCCUGGGGGAGUACGGCCGCAAGGCUG
rnacentral:rRNA from 1 species